rfam:Aedes aegypti strain Liverpool supercont1.1011 genomic scaffold, whole genome shotgun sequence.
UGCCCAGCAACUCCUAUCCCUACCUCCUCCUGAUACUGGCCGGGGUACGAGUAAUCUUGGGGAAGAUCGAGUAACCAACCCCCGGUGGGAACUUUGGUCGUAUACUGACAGGGAAGG